rnacentral:rRNA from 1 species
GUGAACGCUGGCGGUGUGUCUAAUACAUGCAAGUCGAGCGCCCCUCACUUUGUUUUCGAUCAAGGUUUUUUGCGAUCGAAGAUAGGGUGAGGGGAGCGGCGAACGGGUGAGGAACACGUUGGUAGCUACUCCAGACUCAGGGAUAACCCCGCGAAAGCGGGGCUAAUACCGGAUGGUCCUGUAAAGGUAAAGCUUUUGCGGUCUGGAAGGCGCCUGCGUCCUAUCAGCUAGUUGGUGAGGUAAUGGCUCACCAAGGCUAUGACGGGUAGCUGGUCUGAGAGGAUGACCAGCCACAGGGGAACUGAGACACGGUCCCCACUCCUACGGGAGGCGGCAGUAAAGAAUCUUCCGCAAUGGGCGAAAGCCUGACGGAGCGACACCGCGUGAUUGAUGAAGCCCUUCGGGGUGUAAAGAUCUUUUCUGGGGGAAGAAUUCUGACGGUACCCUAGGAAUAAGCACCGGCUAAACUCGU